CCCUCCUUUCCCCUCCUCUCCUCUCUUCUCCUUUCCCUUCUUCCUCUCUCUGGGUCUCCUCAUGUGUGCUUUUUCUUCUCCUUUUCCUUGGCAUCCAGCUGCGUUUCUGCAGGUCUCCCAGUGAGAGACAAAGCACAAUGUCUGAGUUGAGCACAAAGAAGCCACCUUUAAAAAACAUCGACUUAGAGGAAACCUGUGUCCUCAGAUAUCUCCCUCCCUUCCCUGCUAUUUACGGAACCCAGCGUUAUACUUAACACAGCACUGCCUGUUGUCUGCGUGAUUCCGGCCAGCAAACUCGGGUGGAGAAGGCAAUAUACCCACUGUGUGUGUAGAUAGGUAGAGACCCCGAUUUUCAGGAGCUACCUGCUUUCCAGGAUCGAUGUGUAGCCGAGCUCCGAAAACGCGUGCCACCAGAAAUGAUGGGAGACACUCCCCUACUCAACUCAGGAUGUCUUUCAUUUUUAUCUUCUGCCACUUUUUUGUCAUCUGAAUUAUUACUUAUCAUUACCAAGGGGCUGUAGGCGGAUCAGUGGAGGGUGCGUGGAUCUGAUGGACAUUGGAGGAGAAAUACUUCAGAAAGAAGGAAAAUGUCUGCGGUAGAAGUAAAGGGGUAGGAGAGGCCGCAGUGAGUGAUGAGUCCAUUGCAGAAGCCAAGUGGUAAAUUAGUGCAUAUGGCAAAGAUAGUCAAGGAGCAAAGCCUGCCGCUGGAAGGAAAGAGAUUUUUAGCGUUGUCGUCAUCUCAUGCCUGAAUAGAGUGCGUAUUUUAAAUAGGGCUUGGAAUCACUGCUCUUCGUGCCUCUAAACGCCGAUUGCAAGGAAGUAUUUGGGGGCUGUUGACUUUCUGUCCGUAAAGAAAACCCAGCAAGGCUCACAGAAUUCUCCACCUGCACGCAUACAGGCAUAGGUGCUCUAAAUGCCCGGUUGGGAUGCGGAACCAUUAGGCGGAGAACUGCGCCCUGGUCUCCUCUUCUUCACUCCUUUCUCUCCCCCACCUCCACUCCUCCCCUUUCUUUCACCCCUUCUAGAAAACGUGAUACCUGAUCUCUGGGUCUAGCAGGCUGAGGGUUGUUUGGUUUUGUUUUUUUUUUUUCUGUAUUCGUAUAAUACAAUGUCUGGCCUUCCCCCUGACCUGCUGGUGUAUUUUUGGUCUCAUUAGCAGUCAGGGAGAUGCCUUAGUGCAUCCGGGGCUGCGAGUCAGGGAUGAGACACUAUAACGGAGAGAGAGAGCGAACGCGAGAGGAUAUUAGAAGGGAGGCUUGUCUCCAAGAUAUGGAAGGAAGUGAGAAAUGACAGGACCGCAAGCUUUGUAUGUAGGAGCCUGGCAGGGCGGGGGAGCGGCGGGGAAAGCCAAGUGGAUUCUCAGAAAAGGAGGGAAGCCGUAGAUAGAGCUAACGGUGAUUAGAGGGGGGAUAUUGAUUCCUUAUUCUGCCAGAGAUUUAAGCAGGCAUGCGAGGAAUCUGCACCAUGGUUGGCAAAAGGAGCCUCUGUAACCAGACACUCGGGCUUUCCAGGAGCCCAGGGAGAGAGCUGAGAAGAAAGGGGGCAGUGUGGUCUAGGAAAAUUCAACUUGUCGCUGAUUUGUGCCUGAUGCUUGCUGUCCGUCAGCAGCCUCCCUUACAAUCUUUUUUUCUCUCUCUCUCUCUCCCUUUUUUUCUUGCCUUCUCCUUCUUCACUGAAGCCUAAGGGAGCCAGCAAAGAUUAAAUGUGCUUUCUCAAAGGCGGCCACUUCACGCUGCUAUGUCGAAAAGGCCAUUAUUAUUAUGAUUUUUAAUAGUAAAAGAAAAAGGGAGAGAGAGGUCGAGACAGGGAGAGAGAAGCAAGGUAGGUUGAUGACGGACUAGCCUUUCUGAGAGGAAAAGGAAAGUGAGAGAGAAAGGAGAGACCCUGAACUGAACGGAGGAUUGUGCCUGAGAAGAACCUACGGAGCAUGAGCUACAGAGUUACAGUCUCGAGAUUUGGUGUAUCGCUUCCUGCCCCCGCCUCCCUCCCCGCCCCGAUGUCGGUCCUCUGUUGAAACACCUCGCCCAGGCUAGCGCACUGCGAGCUCCCAUUUCCCCCCCUUGCUCGGAAUGGUGUUGCACGAGGGCUGCAGCCCUGCUCCGCUUCCAAUGGGAGCUGACCCCCGAAGAUCUAGCCACUAAGGAAAAAGCCAGACAGUGCAACAGUGAGUUUGGUCAGCCUGGUGCGAGACACUUGCUCUACGCUCCGUAGGUGAAGGUGCUCUUGAUGCAAAUUUGGAGAAUCAUUACCAUCAGAUCACGGAGGGACCCUGAGCGAGGCUACGCAAACGUCCCAAUUUAUGCUUAUAUGUUCGGGAGACAAAAAGGAGUCCAAGGGAGGCUCAUCUUGAGAUGAUAUAAGAGAUUACUCAUUCCAAUUAAGUAGGCAGAGGCCCCAAAGAAGGCUGACUUGUUAAACAUUUGACUCAUACUAGACACCAAAAUACGGUGGCUCAUAUUUUUAUACCAUUUGUUCCUCAACAGUCAUUUUAAUAAUGGGGCCCAUAUCAUGAAGGAGGCGCUCUGCAUGGGCCAUAUCUAGGCAACACCAGAGCGAUGCGUUGUUUUACUUCUCGUUUGCUCACGUAUACAAGGACUUUCCCUUAUUAGCUACCCCCAAAACUGUGCCAAGCGUCCUUCUUGACUCUAAUAGCAUUUUAAUGUAUUCACAAGUGAGUCCUGCACACGUGUGUCAGGGGCUUAGCGACCCCCGUCCCCAACGAUGUUCACAAAACACUGAGUUCUAAAAUACAGACCUCUGUAAGAUACAUUUUUAAUUACUCUUCCGGGAUCAGUUGCUGCAUGCUUGCUCAGCACAGAAAAAUACCUGUUAACGAUAUGUCAUACAGGGUUAUAUUUCAGGUUUUAGGGGAAAAAAAUAUCGUACCUGCUAUCUAGAGACCCAUCGUCAACAUAUCCAAAGUGUUUUGGGCAGAUAUGUGGCAGUAUAUCAGUGAUACGUGUUAGUAUAUCUCUUUUGCCGUGCCUAACUCAUUAUGCACCUUCAUUGUGCUGGCAUAAUGAAAAGGCUGACAGUAAGGGCUUUCGUUACAUCAAAAUCCACCUGCAAAGUAUAUUUCAUUCAUAAUAACUUUUGCAGCAUAAGAGAAACACGAAUACAGCUCUUCCCGAAUAUCCUUAUCUGCAAAAUGAGUGGGUUGGAUGAGUUGGUCUCUAAAUGUUUUUGCAGCCUUAAGGAUUUUUGAAGUUGCUCUAAAGUAUAGAAAUAGAAGAACCAUUCCAGGACCCUGGAAUCUGGAGUCUGUUUUUACCAACAGUUGUCCUUUAAAGUUAUAUUUGAUUCCACCUCCAGGUACUUUAUUUACUAACAUCUUUUGCCUUGCUGCUAAAACAGUAAAGUCUGAAGUUCAUUUUCAGGAAGGGCAGAGACAAAAAAGAGGAACAGCUGAAGAAUGAAAAAAGCUACACAGUGGGAGAAGGAAAUUCUUGAUCUGACUUCUAAGCCCAUGUCCUUCAGCAUUAACACAGAAGAAACCCAGACAAGCACCUGUCUUUCUAUUUUAAGACCAUAGUCUUUGGUCCUUCUGCCUUCAUUUAAUUUCUUGCAGCAUGGUUUUGUUUUACCCCAUUGGGUUGACGGCUUUGAGUUUCACAUUUCCCUUUCCAUUCGGUUUAUCUGAAUCAUGUUAAUAUUCCCUUCAAAACCCACAAAGUCACAUUAACACGCCACGUUUCCCAAAUUAAAUCUUAACAUGUUCAGGACCUCCUGAAAAUUGCCCUGCCCUAUUUUCUAAAGCCACUCCGAAUGUAUAAUCUCUCCUUGAAUUAAGCAAGCCUGCUCUUCCUGGCUUCCCGGUCUUUGAAUGAGCUCACACACUGCUAUUCCUCCCCGCACACUCUGCUCUCCACCACUGGUACCUUUCAGCAACCUUUCUCUUCUUUCUUUCUCUUUCUUUCUUUCUUUCUUUCUCUUUCCCUGCCUCCCUCCACCCUUUUUCUCUCUCUCUCUCCCUUCCUUCCUUCCCUCCUUCCUUCCUUCCUUCUUUUCUUCCUCCCUCCCUCCCUUCCUUCCUCCUUCCCUUCCUUCCUUCCUCCCUCCCUCCCUUCCUUCUUCAGUCUCUCCCUUCCUCCCUCCCUUUUGUUCUUCCUUUCCUCCUUUCUUUCAGUGGGCACCGUAUGUCGUGCUCUGAGCCAGGCACUAGAAAUACAAACACAAGAAACUGACAUUAACUCCUAACAAUUUCAGUGACUUCAUUCACCCCUGCAUUGCUAAGCACUUCUGUAUCCACAAUUAUUUUAUUUUGCCUUUGGUCUUUAGAUUUAUUUGAAUUUGUCCUUAAUGUCCUGUGUUCUUUUGUUGUUUUCCUACGUGUCCUAUUUCAGUAAGUUGCCUGUUGGAUAACCCUGAAGCUUUUCUGAUGGAGCUUUUUCUCCCAGAGUGAUUAGCGUGGGGUGCUCACACGCUCAAGCAAUGCUGUUGCUUGACUGGUCCUUGAGCGACGUGAAGAGUGAGAAAGUGCUACGUCUUUCUGGUGAUGCAGCAUUUCACGUGGAGUUAGAAAUAGCAUGGCCCCCAAAGUAUCGUUACGUUUACUUAUUUUUAUCGAAGAGUCAAUGUGAUAACUUUCUGUGACAUGUUCUGUUAUUUUUUUAGUUGUGUCGAUGUUCCUUUCAGCUGGUCCUAUAGCCCCCCUCCUCAGGAAGGUCUCCCCAGGGAAAGGACAAAAACUUCAGAGACACAGCCGCACUGAUGGACGCUCAAGCCAACAAUGGAGUUGAAACAAAGAAAGAGAUCGCCUGAAGACACCUUCCCUGCUAAGCAGCACACCCCAAAUGGCGCAGUUGCAGGCAAUAGAACUCUCAGAACAGGAGACCAUGUUUUCAAGAACCAGACAAAAUUUAACAGUGACAUCUAGAUUUCUAAAGAGCCAAGGACUUUCCCUUCCUCGUGUGUAUUCCUCUGUUUGUAUUUAAAUUCAGUGUGACAUUCAUUUCUAAAAUAUUUUCCCGGGAUGAGUA